rnacentral:rRNA from 1 species
AUACGGAGGGGGUUAGCGUUGUUCGGAAUUACUGGGCGUAAAGCGCACGUAGGCGGAUUGGAAAGUUGGGGGUGAAAUCCCAGGGCUCAACCCUGGAACUGCCUCCAAAACUAACAGUCUAGAGUUCGAGAGAGGUGAGUGGAAUUCCAAGUGUAGAGGUGAAAUUCGUAGAUAUUUGGAGGAACACCAGUGGCGAAGGCGGCUCACUGGCUCGAUCCUGACGCUGAGGUGCGAAAGCGUGGGGAGCAAACAGGAUUAGAAACCCUAGUAGUCC